UAGAGAAGUAAAAGUCGUAACAAGUUUCCGUAGGUGGACCUGCGGAAGGAUCAUUACAGUAGUCAUCCGGGUUGCCGCAAGGCCUCCCGGGUAACCUACCACCCUUUGUUUAUUACACUUUGUUGCUUUGGCAGGCCUGCCCUCGGGCUGCUGGCUCCGGCCGGCGAGCGCCUGCCAGAGGACCUAAACUCUGUUUGUCUAUAUUGUCUGAGUACUAUAUAAUAGUUAAAACUUUCAACAACGGAUCUCUUGGUUCUGGCAUCGAUGAAGAACGCAGCGAAAUGCGAUAAGUAAUGUGAAUUGCAGAAUUCAGUGAAUCAUCGAAUCUUUGAACGCACAUUGCGCCCCCUGGUAUUCCGGGGGGCAUGCCUGUCCGAGCGUCAUUACAACCCUCAAGCUCAGCUUGGUGUUGGGCCCCGCCGCCCCGGCGGGCCCUAAAGUCAGUGGCGGUGCCGUCCGGCUCCGAGCGUAGUAAUUCUUCUCGCUCUGGAGGUCCGGUCGUGUGCUCGCCAGCAACCCCCAAUUUUUUUCAGGUUGACCUCGGAUCAGGUAGGGAUACCCGCUGAACUUAAGCAUAUAAAUA
rnacentral:rRNA from 1 species